UCCUGUAGAGUAUGGGUGUGGUUU
rnacentral:miRNA from 1 species